UACGUAGGGGGCAAGCGUUGUCCGGAUUUAUUGGGCGUAAAGAGUGUGUAGGCGGCUUUACAGGUCCGUUGUGAAAACUCGAGGCUCAACCUCGAGACGCCGGUGGAAACCGUAAGGCUAGAGUCCGGAAGAGGAGAGUGGAAUUCCUGGUGUAGCGGUGAAAUGCGCAGAUAUCAGGAGUAACACCCGUGGCGAAAGCGGCUCUCUGGGACGGUACUGACGCUGAGACGCGAAAGCGUGGGGAGCAAACAGG
rnacentral:rRNA from 1 species